rnacentral:rRNA from 1 species
UACGGGGGGGGCAAGCGUUGUUCGGAAUUACUGGGCGUAAAGGGCUCGUAGGCGGCCAACUAAGUCAGACGUGAAAUCCCUCGGCUUAACCGGGGAACUGCGUCUGAUACUGGUUGGCUUGAGUGUGGGAGAGGGAUGCGGAAUUCCAGGUGUAGCGGUGAAAUGCGUAGAUAUCUGGAGGAACACCGGUGGCGAAGGCGGCAUCCUGGACCAUUACUGACGCUGAGGAGCGAAAGCCAGGGGAGCAAAACGGGG